UACAAAGGGGGCUAGCGUUGCUCGGAAUUACUGGGCGUAAAGCGCACGUAGGCGGUCUUUUAAGUCGGUGGUGAAAUCCUGGAGCUCAACUCCAGAACUGCCUUCGAUACUGGAAGACUUGAGUCCGGGAGAGGUGAGUGGAACUGCGAGUGUAAGAGGUGAAAUCGUAGAUAUUCGCAAGAACACCAGUGGCGAAGGCGGCCAACUGGACCGAACAACUGACGCUGAGGCGCGAAAGCGUGGGGAGCAAACAGG
rnacentral:rRNA from 1 species